UGACAAAUGGUCUCUAAAAUUUGUUCGAGUUCAAGAAAAUAAAAUGUAAAUAAUAGUAUUUUGUAAUGAAAAGGCGCACAAUUUUGCUGGUAAAUGUAAAUAAAAUAAUAUUGGUAUGUGUUUCGAAAAACGUUCAACAUUUUGACAGUCCACAGGUGAAAGCAUUUUUUAAAAAGUGUGUCAAACUCGGCAGUCAGUAUUCCUACCUGUUCGUUUUUACCUGAACAUCACAACCAGGAAGUUUUCUCUCCAAUCACAUGAAGCUUACGUCACUCCGAAUGAGAAUGACAAGUGCGUACUGUUAGAAAUAACUGACCCGAAAAUAAAUAGACAUUUGGAGCUCGACAGAAUGCUGCGGCUUAUCUGCUGUUGUUGUUUUUCUGAUGAGAACUCUUUAAAUGAGAGACAGCCCCUCCUGCAAUCCACAACAUCAGACCCAAACGAGCCUGGAUCAGCCAGGCAGAAACCACCAGCACACAGUGCAAACACAGCCCAGCGAACUGGCAGGCUGCUGAUGAGGCGAGUGGGUGUUGCAGAGUUGGACCAGAGGUUUUCUGAAGUGGCCGAGACCUUUAAUGAACAACAGC